CACGUAGGGUGCAAGCGUUAAUCGGAAUUACUGGGCGUAAAGCGUGCGCAGGCGGUGAUGUAAGACAGAUGUGAAAUCCCCGGGCUCAACCUGGGAACUGCAUUUGUGACUGCAUCGCUGGAGUGCGGCAGAGGGGGAUGGAAUUCCGCGUGUAGCAGUGAAAUGCGUAGAUAUGCGGAGGAACACCGAUGGCGAAGGCAGCAGACUGGAGCACUCCUGACACUGAAACAAGAAAGCGUGGGUAGCGAAUGGG
rnacentral:rRNA from 1 species